UGUGCGAGGGCUUUCCCCAGCUGUGGCAAGCGGGGGCCACUCUUCAUCGCGGUGCGCAGGCCUCUCACCAUCGCGGCCUCUCCUGUUGCGGAGCACAGGCCCCAGACGCGCAGGCUCAGCAAUUGUGGCUCACGGGCCCAGCCGCUCCGCGGCAUGCGGGAUCCUCCCAGACCAGGGCCCGAACCCGUGUCCCCUGCAUUAGCAGGCGGACUCUCAACCACUGCGCCACCAGGGAAGCCCUCCAGUUCUACUCUUGAUAGACAUUUGAGUUGUUUCCAGUUUGUGUAUGAAGGUUGUACAUGCACUUUUUGGUGAGUAUAAAUUUCUGUAGGGUAUAUACGAAGCUGAGAAAUUUCUGGGGCACAGGAUAUGCAUGUACUCAGAAGGUAUCACUGCAGAGGUUUUCAAAGGGCUUGUGCCAGGUUACCAUCCCACGUGCAGGAUUUGAGGGGUCCAGGCGCCCCACAUCCGAGCCUCCCCUGGUAUGUGCUCUGUCAUUUCCACUUCAGCUCUUCUGGGGGGGGUUAACAUGGCAUCACAUUGUGGGUUUAAUUUGCAUUUCGCUGAGGACAAGCAAAGUCGAGCAUUUUUCAUACGUACUGAAUGGCCAUUGGAUUUUAUCUUUUGUGAAGUUUCUGUUCAAGAUUUUAUUUUUGUCCACUUUUUUCUGUUGACUUCCCAGCCUCUUUCUUACUGACUUAUAGUUCUUUAUAUAUUCUGGCUAUGAGUCCUAUGAUAGAUAUAUAUAUAUUACAAAUACUUCUCCCGCCCUGUGGCUUGCCUUUAUGCAGGGUUUUCUAUGCAUAGGGGAAAUAAUCUUGUAACUAGCUCAGGCAUAACCUUUGUCAGCUAUCUUUGCCAGAUAGAUUUUAUAAAAAUCAAAUCAUGUGAAUCUUAAAUAACAAUCUUUUCAUAGUGGCAUGCCUGAGUGUGGGAUUUGAGAGAAGAGGAAAUCGUGUGAGUUUUUGUAUUUUUGUCAAACUUUGUAGUUUUAUUAGAUUACUGUUUCAUUAAGACUUGGUUUGUAUUUUUCUUCUUUAGGUCUGCAAGUUUAUGGACUGUAUAUGUGUGGUGUGGACACUGACAGCUGCUUACCCUGUUUUCAUUCUCCUCUCCUUUACCAACAGAGCCCUACUUUGUGCAGAGCUGCAGUGAGCACAGUAAAAGCUACUUGCUCUCCUGGGACCCUUUGAAGUUAGAGUUGGUUUUGUGACAGGUUCUACCAAUAAAUAUGGAUAGAAGUCUUUUGGGUGGGACUUCCAGGAAACCUAUUGCUUUUCUAAAAAAGAAAAAAAAAAAAGAGAGAGACUUAGUUAACAAAAAUGUUGCCCUUUCUCUCUUCUUUCCUAAAAAGUGGUCAUGAUGCUUCAGUGCUUUGCAGCCAUCCUGCAGUCUUGACAGUGGGAGACCCAUGCUAAAGAUGGUGGAGUCAGUUCUUUAAUGGCAUCGUGGGGGUCAUUGUUCAAACCUUGAACCACUGUAUUAGUCAGGGUUCUCCAGAGAAACAGACCUACAAGGAGAUUGUAUAUAUGGAAUUGAUUCCUUUGAUUAUGGAGGCUGAGAAGUCCCAUGAUCUGCUGUCUGCAAGCAGGAGAGCCAGUGGUGUAAAUUCCAGUCUGAAUCCAAAGGCUGGAGAUCCAGGAGAGCCUAUGGCAAGUCCCACUUCGAGGGAGGGAGAGGACCAGCGUUCCAGCUCCACGGUCAGGCAGAGAGAGCAGCUUCUCCCUCACCCCACCUCUUGUUCUAUUCAGGCCCUCGACAGAUUGGAUGAGGCCCAUCCACACUGGAGAGCAAUCUUUUACUCAGUUCACCGAUUCAGAUGUUCAUCUCAUCCAGAAACACCCUCACAGACACACCCAGAGUAACGUUUAACCAGACAUCUGGGCACCCGGGUCGCAGUCAUGUUGACCCAUAAAAUUAACCGUCACAGCUGCCUUCCUCUGGACCUCACGUUCUCUGAGGACAGUAUUGGGUAAGCUCCUGCAGUUGUGUUUCCAUAUAUUCUGUGGAAUUCAGUCCCUAAGCAAUAUACACGUUACUCAGAUUUCUCAGCUUUCAGAACCAUUGAGGCGUGUAGCAAGUGUGUCCCAGUGCCCUGAGGUCCCGUCUACCCCAACGGGAACAAGACCUGACUCUGCCACGUCCACAUCCUACUAUGAUACACGUAAGUGUAACAGUGUUUGCGGGAAUGAGCUCUGGAUAUCGGCACCAGGUCAUUUCAACUGCAGAAAAGCCAUGAACCAAACGGACGUUAAAGGCAGCUCAGAGACAGCCAGGUUUCAGAGCAGACAGGUCUGGCCUGUGGUGGAGAUUCUUGUCACUCCGUUGGACAGAGGCAUCUAGAUCUUCUUCUCUUGUGUUACUGCCAAAUCUCCAUUAGACUUAGAAAUGACUUUGAGAGGAAUAAACUCCUGAAUACCUCUACGGAUGUGAAAGGUGUUUGAGAAAAUGCACGAUUGUGCUUUCCUCUUUUGGGGGGAAAGUAUCUUUUUUUUUAAAUUUAUUUUUGGCUGUGUUGGGUCUUCGUUGCUGCACGCGGGCUUUCUCUAGUUGCGGCGAGCGGGGGCUACUCUUCAUUGUGGUGCUCGGGCUUCUCAUUGCGGUGGCUUUUCGUUGCAGAGCACGGGCUCUAGGCAUGUGGGCUUCAGUAGUUGUGGCUCGUGGGCUCAGUAGUUGUGGCUUGUGGGCUCUAGAGCGCAGGCUCCUCAGUAGUUGUGGCGCACGGGCUUAGUUGCUCCGCGGCAUGUGGGAUCUUCCCGGACCAGGGCUGGAACCCGUGUCCCUUGCAUUGGCAGGCGGAUUCUUAACCACUGCACCACCAGGGAAGUCCCGGGGGAAAGUAUCUUGAUAUGCUUCCACCUGUUAUUACCACGGUCCCUUCUAGAACAGUAACUCACAUUACGCUAACGUGGGCCGAAAGGGUACAUGUGUUUUUUGCAAAAUUAUAAAAAAUUGUGUUUGCCUCUCCCGCAGCACCUGCCACACCCUGCUUCGGGAUGAGACCCUGCAAACCACAUUUCUCCUUUGCUGACUGGCUUUUUGUUGGGUUCUACCGAUGGUGGGGCGCACGGGAGAUGGGAACCCCGAGGAGGGAAGAAGGGGCCUGUUGCUCUCUGUUUGCCUCCUGUCCCUGGCGGUGUUGGCCCAGCCGCGGGUCGCAGCCCAGCAGUGACAGUUCAUUCUUGGAGGAGGAGGUCCUGGCUCGCAGGAUUGCCACACUUUCAUAGAACCAGCUCUGCCUCUCGAAAAUCGCAGCGCCGUCAGCCGGUGCCCCUUUCAGACCUUUGGAUCCCGGCUCCGUGAGGUCCUGCCACGUCGCGAGGCACCGGUACCAGCUGCGCGGUGUCCACGCCUCAGAGGUCUGACUCCCAGCUCCGUGGGUGCCCCCUUCAGCUUCUGGGUCUUCAGAGUCCCUUGUCUCUGUUUCCUAGCCCUAAGGGUGCAGGCUGCUUCCCUUGGUUAUCACCUCUGUCGCCGCUUCACUAUCCUGUUCACAGCCCUUGAUAUUCAACCCAGGAGGCGUGGUCUUGGCCUCCUGAUUGAACAGCCAGCCGGAUUUGCAGUUCCUGCGCGAGAGGGAAUGAAGCUGGGUCCUCUUCCGGCACCCCCAGCUCAGGUUGGCUUCCCACUGGCAUGCGUGGCCUUUGCUCCUAGAUCCUGGGAUUCACCCCAAGCGCGGAGAACUGAGACGAUGGAGAAGCGGGUAUUUCACCUCCUGUGCGGGCGUGCAGUCCUGUCCUCGUGCCCCGUCUCCUCCGUUCCCACCCUGCUCAUCCUCAGUCUCUUCAAGACCUUCUGUCCACUCACUCCUCCGCUCGCUGCUACUUCAUCGUCACCUUGGCUUUGCUUUUCUGUGUAGUCCGUCUAGAUCCCAUUGUCACCGCUUCACUCAAUCACCAGGACCGUCUACGCUCCUGCCCUGUUGCCCUCUGGCCACACUGCACUACACAGCCCGGGCCUGGCACGUUCCAUCUGUCCCCUCCUGCGCCCACCAGCAGGUGCCACUGGAGGGGGUGCACACGCCAAGCGUCCGGUGUCAGCUGGGCCCCAAGUGAUGCCUGGAGGGCAUUCUCCACCUCCUCUCCUCUUGGGGCUGUUCUCACCUGUGACUCUGCUCCAGCCCGACCCUACCCUCCUUUCCUGUCUCACCUGGAGGGUGGCCUCACCUAUCUUUUCUCACACCGGGUUGAGUAUGGAGGCAAAGCUUCAGGUCUGUUUCCCACACUCACCACCUGUUCUUACCUUACUUGGAGGAGAAGGGGUUGCUCCUCCUGUCCUGGGCUAGAUCUUCCACUGACUGACCUUGCUUACCCAAUACUGUCCUCAUGACACAUCUCCUAAUGUAAUUUGCUUUCAUUUUCACCCCCUCCUUCUACUCCCAGGAGAAUAUAUAUCUUCCGAGAGCAGGGAUUUCACAUCCAUUUGGUUGACCAUGAGGUGAGAAAGAAAGUCAUCAUGGUUGAUUCCAAGGGAUUUGGCCUGAGCCCUGGAAGAUUGGAGUUGCCUCUGACUCAGCUGAGGAAGGUCAUUAAUGGAGCAGGUUUGGAGGGAACGUCAGAAAUUCAGCUCUGGACGUGUUAGCACGUUAGACAUCCAUGUGGAGCUGUUGAGUGGGCUGGAGGAUUGGACCCGUUUUAGAGCUGAGGUCCAGGGUACAGGGAGAGACACAGGUGUCCUCAGCAUAAGACACUUAAAACCAUGGACAAGAGGAGAGCUACAGGAAAUGACUGUGGAUGGUAAAGAGGAGGCCUUGAACUGAGCUCUGGGACACUCCAGCGCCCAGACCUCGGGCAGAUGAAGAAAAACCAUCAAGGAGGUUGGCGGGAGGAGCCCUGACUGUGAUGAGGAGGAAAACCUGGAGGAUGCGCUGCCCUGGGUUCAGGUGGCAAGAGUGUUUCCAUGAAGGACGCCAGAGGGAUCAGCUGUGCCCAUUGCUACGGAACCAGGGACCACAGGGGACAGAGACGAAGGACGAUGACCUCCAGAGCCCAGACGCCCUUGGUGUUUCUUCCACGUGGCACUGUUCGGUGGGAACAGUACCCAGCCUAGCACAUACUGCACACAGACCGUCGUGACACAUCAAGGUCGCUGAUGAUGUCGUAGGCACAUGGGCCCUCUGGGAGCUGAUAUAUUUUUUCAACCCUGCUCUGCCUGCCAGCUAGUAGACAUGUGAGUGCGGUCUUCCUACCUAGGGGCAUAGUCGGGUUCCUGGAAGAAGCGGCACGUUGGUAACCGGGUGCCAUCGGACCUGAGCUCUUCGUCACACGAGUGCUAACAAACAGAAGAUGGGCCACGGCAGGAACAAGUGGAUGAAGGCAUUCUGGAUUUCAUGAAGGUUUCUCAUCUGGCUUUUAAAAAACCCAUCAACGUUGGAAAACCCAAGGCCUCUGUGAGCAUACCAUGGCCUUUAAAGAGAGUCCUGUGCCUGGAACCCCUGAAAUAUAUACUGGGGUUAAUACGCUUAAAGGUGGCUUCAGAAGCAAAGUAACAUCAAGGCCCUAAUUCCGGAACUGGCCCUGCCCAUCUAUCACGGUCUUCCGGUGUGGUGGCAGCCAUGGGAUCCAAAGGAGACUUCUGAUUUCAAGCUCCCUCCUUUUGGUUGAUCUGUCCGACUUUAUUCAGGACUUAGGCAAGGACAGAUUGUCCUUCUGAGCCUGCAGAUGGGAUCCUGGUAAAUCUGGCAGAAGCUGGAAGGGGUGAGAAUUCUGACCAGAGUCAGCUCUCCUGAAUCUCUAUUUGCAUUGCCCAGUUGAGAGAGAAAGGUUAAAAAGCUUAUGCUGAACAAGAUUACAGCCUGACACUGACACCUCUCAUGACCUACUUCCUGGAGAAUACAUCCGCUGGAAAAGACCCCAACAACUAAAGGACUCCUGCUUUGCUCCUUGGAAAGGAUCUUUUCUGGUACUGCUCGCCAGUUCCUGCACAGCUAAACUUGAAGGCAUCCGGCCCACCUGAAAGGAGUAACAGGACCAGAACGAACCAGCAAAGCCACUGGUGAUCUCACACUUAAGAUCUCCCGGCACCAGAAGCAGACGACAUCAGACAUAGACAGCUAUCCCAAGACAACGGGCCAGGCCUGUAUAACUUAACUUGAUUUCCACCACUGUUCUCUUUACUGUGGAAAUCACGAUGGGGGAAGUUAACCAGACUCCUCCACUUACCUGUUUUCUCUCUGGGUUGCCCGUGUCUCCCAGGCAAUUGCCAAGGGAGGUGACCUUUCAGACUCUGUAUUUGUCAUUUAAAACUCCGAUCUGUCUGUAAGGUUGGAGACUCCUUGGUCCUUCCUGUAACCCGAUUUUUCUUCUCUCAUCCUUAGUGCCAUCGUAAGCAACAGCUGAAGUCCCUUCGAUGUCAGCUACAGUGUUAAACUUUUGCAGCCCGGUUUCCCAGUGCCUUAUUUUUACCUUUCUCUCAUCAUAACUCUCCUUGCCCAAUUUGACACAAGUAUCUUGUAAACCGUAGUACAUUUGUGCCCCCCAUGUUCUUAUGGUUAUCUAAAUCAGAUUUCAAAGGAUUUGUCUCUUACCUCAUGAGAGAUGUUAAACUACUUAGGUUUAUUGUUCAGUUACAUGGGAAGCAUUGCCAACUAAGUGAUGAUAAAUCAUCUUGGGUUAUUUGUAUUUUAAUAACAAUUAUUAAUAUAAUUAAGUGUUCUAGAAAUUGUGUGAAAUUCCUAGAAAUCUGAUAUGUCUUGGUAUAAUGUUAUCAGUCAUAAUUCUUGUUAUCUUAAAAUAUUGUCUAUCACAGAAAUAACCAAAUUUCCUUGUCAAUUCCAUUCUAAUGAACUCUCAUCAGAUCUUUAGCAAUGGGCAUUUUUAAGUUCUUUUGUCAUUUACAGAUAUUGUUUUACUCUGAUGCUUUUGCAAAAGUGAGAUUCAUGGCAAGGAACCUACCAAGAACUCUUGGCCACCACAUGGCUGCCAAAUCACAAGGGGUCCAACCUUGGGUACAUAUUUCACAACUGAUGAAGGCUCCACCUGACUUCUGGUCCCGUGCAAAAAAGCUGGAGAUCUCAAAUCAAUCAAACCGACUGGCAAGAGAAGAAGCCACCAUCAAGAUAGAGACUGCCUCCUCCCAAGAUGUCAGAUCAAGAACAUGUCUUUCCAUUCUUCCUUCCCUCUCUGACCAUCCUUUUCCUAAUUCUCACACUGUGAAGGUUUUUAUGAUUUCUUGCUGUCCAUCUUUUUUGCUUUGCUCUGGCUUGGAAAUAUAAUGCCAUUGUUCACAUACCUAAGGCCGUUGCAAAGGGGGGUAAAUCUAACCUCAAAGACUGUUUGAAUUAUCACGAUGCCGGGGAUUACGCUGUUCUGUCCAUCACGAACUGCUCCCUGAUUUCCAAUGCCUCCGAUUCUCUGGACCAACCUCAGCCAGCCCACCUUUCUGUUGUGUCCCACUCCCUAACCCUGGGGAUCUGCUUCCUUGUCUCUGGUUAACACCCCGGGGAACCCUGCAUCCAGGCUCUGUACAAAGAAAGGGACACAAGGCAAGGGAAACGAGAAUAAAACCACCUGUGCUGUCUACAGACCCUUCAGGUGUACUGGCCUCUACGGCUGUCACCUUUUGGGGCCCGAGCCACAGACGGAAACAGGAAUUACCGCGAAGCAUUCAGUGGUUCAAAAUCUGCUUCCUUUGGUGCAGCCCUACUCCGCCGGCCAGGAGCUGAUGCAAAUGAGGCCACGACCAGGAAGCUCUCCUUACCUCUUGAAGAUUCCAGAAUCCGCUGGUAAAGCAACAGCUGCCCAAUGAAAAUCCCUAGACUCUCUGGCCAAAGUUGUUCUUGAUACUAAGAGAAGCCUCUGGUUGAUUAUCCUUUAGCUGAACAAGGAGAUGUCUGUGCUGUGACCACCACCACUUGCUGCACCUGGAUCAACACUUCUGGGGAAGGCGAGACUCAGCCACGUAAGAUUACUGAACAAACCAGUCACUUUCUUAGGCCAACAAACCAGCCAACGGGAUCGAUCUUUGGGGAUUAUUCUGCUUAUAAUAGUCACGGCAGUUGCCGUAGUGUGCUGUAUUCUCGCAAAAGCUUUAAAUGCAUUUUUGCAGCCACUAGCUACCAAGCAAAUGAUCUCCCUCAGAACAGAACGUCAGAAAAGGAACAAAGAGAAUGACCGACUGAAAGACCGUGAACCCAAUGCCGUGACCUGUGAAGACCACACAGAGAUUCAGCAAAAAAAUGGUAAGAACGCCAAAGCCAUAGCUGGGAGUAGCGCUAAUGACUUAAAUUUUGAUCACUUCUCUUAAUUAGGCUCAGAGCCUGAUGAAAAGGGGGGAAUUGUUAAAAACAAGACAGCAAACCCAAAAUGAAGUCGCUUAGGCUAGGUUCCAUAUCACCAAACCGAGACGUGACGUUAUAGUUUCCGCUCCCCCAGAAAGGAAUCUUUAACCAGUCAAAUCGGGACUCGCCGAUCAGCAUGAGGGAGGGCGUCCGCCCGACAGACCCCUGCCGCCCCCUAACGGAGAUCGAGUGGGCUACAGCCAACCCGCGUUUUCACCUGGUGUAACUUCCUCGUUCCUGCUCCUUUCUGCCUGCAUGUCUUUCGUUUUGUACAGCUCCCCAGAGCUCCUUUCUAUCUGCCGGACUGGCUGCUGCCUGAUUCAUGAAUCACUGAAAUAAAGCCCGUAAGC